rnacentral:rRNA from 1 species
UACGGGGGGAGCAAGCGUUGUUCGGAUUUACUGGGCGUAAAGGGCGCGUAGGCGGCCACGACAAGUCACUUGUGAAAUCUCCGGGCUUAACCCGGAACGGUCAAGUGAUACUGUCGGGCUAGAGUGCAGAAGGGGCAACUGGAAUUCUCGGUGUAGCGGUGAAAUGCGUAGAUAUCGAGAGGAACACCUGCGGCGAAGGCGGGUUGCUGGGCUGACACUGACGCUGAGGCGCGAAAGCGUGGGUAGCAAACAGG